GACAGAAAUGUUAAAUAGCCGCGGUAUUUUGACCGUGCAAAGGUAGCAUAAUCAUUAGUUUUUUAAUUGAAAACUUGUAUGAAUGGUUGGACAAAGAAAAAGCUGUCUCUUUUAUUUAAAUUGAAAUUAACUUCUAAGUGAAAAGGCUUAGAUUUUUUAGAGGGACGAUAAGACCCUAUAAAGCUUUAUAAGUUAAGUAAGUUAAAUUAAUUUUUUAAAAUAAAAAUAAGCUUAAAAAAUUUAUUUGGUUGGGGCGACAAUGGUAUAAAUUAAAUAACUGCUAUUAAAAUUAAGCAAUUAUAUUUGAUUAGAAUUAUAAUUGAUCCUUAUUAUGGAUUAAAAGAUCAAGUUACUUUAGGGAUAACAGCGUAAUUUCUUUUGAGAGUUCUUAUCAAAGAAGAAGUUUGCGACCUCGAUGUUGAAUUAAAAUGUCUUUAUAGUGCAGAAGCUAUAAAAGAAGGUCUGUUCGACCUUUAAUUUUUUACAUGAUCUGAGUUCAGACCGGA
rnacentral:rRNA from 1 species